rnacentral:lncRNA from 1 species
AAAAAAGUAUAAACUUGUAUUACUCAAGCAGCAACCUUACACUCGUCCUUACACAAAUCAUCGACCUCGAGGGGGCGGAGCCGAGCCAGACUAUAGUUCUCCUUUCAGUUUUUGCAAAACUUGCUAAAAUAUCACUAACUACAUUUUGAGAACAGCUGAUAUAAGUAAUACGGGCCAUACGAAGAGACUUCAAAUGCUUGAUCUCCGCCACCAAAGAAGCAUACACAGACCUGUCCAUGUCCCUCCCAUUCAGAAUAUUCACCGCUGAAAAUGAGUCCAUCUUAAUGCAAACUGGUAGUUCCGUUCACUGUAUAGCAAUACAUAACCCCUUCAAGUUCGGACGCGAAGAAGCCAACAUGUCAUUCUUCAUCUGAUGGAAGAGUUGUUUUGCAUAGAAUAGAUUUUCAAUCAUUUUGCUUUUGCUUUUCUGAAAAUGCAUGCAGAAAAUUCCUUAAGUUUUAAUAAAACUUGUCGUUUUCAUAAAAACUGGAAUACAUUAGCUUCCACCCACUCAUAUGAUGCAUGCACUCAGAAUAUGUAUUUCGUCUUCUUAUUCCAUCCAUGAUACAUAAUAAUGUUACCAAGAUAGCUUGUCAGCCAACACGGAUACAUUGACACGACAAAACAGUAACUAUGUUCAUACCUUGUGAGUUAUAUUCUAAGUAUAUGUAGAUGAUGAUGAAUCAAAGCUUCUCUGCAUACUUAUUCCUCAGUACACUUGUCCUGUAACAAGUUAAUCUUGUGUCAUUAUAGAACUUAGUAGAGUUUAGUAACACUUGUAUGGGAAAAUGAUCAACCAGAUGAUCUGCAACUGCAAGAGCAGACUACCUUAUCAUGUAUUAGUACGUGACUCUCUUUCUUUGCUGCUGGUAACUUAUAACGGUAAUGCAGCACACGAAACUCAAGGGAAUCACGGUAAUACGUAUGCUCCCCUCUGAAAUACGCCCUUAACUACUGAAGAAAAAGAAGAAAUAGUACUCCUGACCAAAAAGAAGAAAAAUAGUACUCCUAACGAAAAAGAAGAAAUAACAACCAGCUCCAUGUAAAAAACAAUUAUGCUGCAAUAAUAGAAAUAGAAGUUACGAAAGCCUGACCAGUUAUUCCUGCCCACUAAGCAAAUCUGUAGCACUAUCAACCAUAAGCAUUGCAUUAUUGCAUACGGCUAAACUUGACAUAUAUGUACCACAGUGCAUCCAAACCUAUUUCAGCAAGAGAAAGAACUAUUCUUUUAGUUUUACUUGAUUUUUGUUAGCAAGUAAAAUUGUUGGAAGUGUAGCCGUGCGGUGCCAGAUUUACAUGGACCAUAUAAACCACAGUAAGAUGAUGUUAGCUAUCUGUAUAAAUUUGACUCUCCCAUGUCUGGAUUGCAAGAAUUUUCAUGAGCUUAC